CCGGGGGUAAGUUAGGCAGAACAUGAAAUAUAAGGUAUAGGCGUUGGUUAGAGUCGGCUACGGAACGAGUUACGAUCUCUCGAACGAGUUAAA